rnacentral:lncRNA from 1 species
GCCGCCACCAAUCAGCGACGAGUGAGGGAGGGGCGGGGUUUGUUGUGGAAGACCCACCCCCUCCUCUUCUAAAUUGCUUCUCCGACCUUUGGGUUCAGAGAAUUGGGAACCGGUCGUUCGCUGUCCUUUUUCGGUUCUUUGGUCAGAGGUCUGGGACUGCGACUUCUUGAUUACUUAUGUACCAUUUAUUUUCACUUGAAACCGGCAGCAAGUUAAGGUGGUUUAGAAUCUGUCCUGACGGGUGGCGUUUGGAAGCAGCACUUUACAAAACGCCUGGUCCUCUCCCUUCUUUGUCAAACCUGGUCAAAGUUAGGACUUGAGCUUUUUUUGGAGGAUCUGAGGAGCAGUGGGGAGUGGGGAAUUAGCCGCCCAAGUCCUUAAAGCUGUCACGUGCAUCAGUAUUUCCACCUCCAACGAGAGGGAAAGAGGAGUAUGCUAGGACUGAGUCCUUCCCUUCGGGCUAAUUGGUGCACUGUGGCAGAAAGACUGCUAGUUUUGCAUCAAGAUCCAUGAUCCUAAGUUUUCAGUGGGGCACAGAGCCACCUGGAACAAAGAUUACAUUUCCCAGCUUUCCUAAGAACCAGGUGUGCCCUUUUGACUGUUUUGGCAAUAGAGGAAACGAGUAGCAGGCCAUCUCUCUUAAGUAUGUAAAAUAAGAAAAUUUGUUGUUCUCUUUUUCUUAUCUGGGGAGUGUCUGGCCACUCAUGAAGGAGAUGUUUCCAGCUGCUUUCAUC